CUUGUUGCCGCACUACGCCAAUAAGCGCGGCCAUUUGCUCCAUAACUCUCCGUCGCCACUCGCUCCGGAUCGCUCGGGCUCCGCAUUCGGCUCCUCCGGCAUCGACUUUGUCUGGGGUCGUCCACGAGGUGCCAUUGCUUCCUGAAAAGAAGCAACUCGCAUUAACUACAUGACCAACAUUACUUGACCAUACCCAAUCCGGCGAAAGCAACUUAUGCAUUCGUUCUUGCCCCAAACAUUAUGUCGUCGACCGCCCGACACAAAACAAGGAGUAGGGAACAAAUGAAAAUUAAACUUAGCCUCUAAUCACAUUAGAGACGUCCCAACUUAACCCAAUCACAUGCUUUCGCUAACUUUAAUUCCACGUCACUCACGUUUCCUAGAUCCUUAAGAUCUUCCAAUCCUAAGGGUCUCUAGGUCCAUUCCUAUUCUUUCAC
rnacentral:lncRNA from 1 species